AACUUACUCUUUUCCUUUGAAGCAUGCAUCUAUUCAUUUAAUUCUGGUUUAACAUUUCUACUUCCAUAAAGGAUCUUGUAUAUAGGAUUGAAUUGGUGCUAUUCUAAUACUUCCAUUGCUUUCCAAGCAAUACAAUGUCUUCUAUCAUAGGAUUGAUUGAUGCUAUUCUAAUACUUCCACUGCAUUACAAGAAGCCAAAUAUCAUCUAUUUCACUUUGCUCAGCAUUUGUUUUGAGCUGGCAAAGUGAUGGAUCAAAUAGUGCGAG